CCAGGAGAAGUCUGACGGAGCACGCCGCGUGAGUGAUGAAGGUUUUCGGAUCGUAAAGCUCUGUUGUUAGGGAAGAACACGUGCCGUUCAAAUGGGGGGGCCCUUUGGGGGCCCCUACCCAAAGCCCCGGGUAUAUAUACGUCCCCACCCCCGGGAAAACGCGA
rnacentral:rRNA from 1 species